UCCCUUUGAAAGCUCUGCAGGGCCCCUGUCAGCCAGCUGUGUGGGAAGAAAGCCAGGCCCCUGCACAGGGACUCCACACGCCGCUGGGCCUUUCCGGUGUCCCUAGCCAGGGAUGUUUAUUGAAGACACUGUGAAAUCCUCAGAGGCUGGGACUGUGUUCAGAAAACCAACCCAUCACCUAUCAUUUGUGCCACAACAUAUUCUAUUUGUCUAAUUUCUGAGUGGAUGGAGAGAAGAUCUCUUCCUGAAAUUUGAUGAGUAAAUUAAAUUAUAUAGAGUGAAUGAUGUUUACAGAGCAGUGGGAUUUUAAAGAAUGCCAGCAAAGAAUCUGGGUCAAAGAGUAAUCUGUGAUGAGAAUAACUGCUCUGUUUUUCUAUACCACCUGGACUUUCAUGUUGACAAACUGGGAAUUUCACACGUUGAGUUUCCUUACCAUGGUGCUCACCUAGGUAGAUAUCCAUGCAGAUAAACUUCAAGGACUAAGUAACAAGAAGAGAACAGAGAUAAUGGCUGUGAGGAACCUGUUCUUGUGGUGAAAGUAUUACCUGAUAGCAAACGUGAAACUGAACAUUUUGCGGGAAGUCUCAAGUCAAAGCUACUGUAAUCAAAGAAGAGCUGAUGCCAGCAAUUCAUAAAUCAAGUAUGGAGCCAAACUUAGGCAAAACCAGUGGCUGCAUUACAGCAGGUCUGGAGGGAUCCUGCCAGGGUGAGAUGGAUGCCCAUGAGUCAACGAGAAGCCAAGUAAAUGGAGGUUGGGGCAGGUCCCCAUACCCCAACCUCCAGAAACACCAUCGUGCAAAUUACAGGACAAACAUACUCUUCUGCAGAUACCUGCCCGUAAAUGUCAGAACCACAUUUGUGUCUGCUAAGGUUUUUCUUAACUUUUCUAUUGAUGCAUUAUAAUUUAACAAAAUAGUGGGAAUUACAUAUAGUUGUAUAACAGUUGUUACAUAUUUGCACAUGCACACAACAGAACAAUAUAAUUUGGUUGUGUCUGCUACAGUCUGAAUGUCCCCACCAAAUAUUGAAAUGUAUUCCCCCUUAUGAAAUAUUAAGAGGUAGGGCCAGUUGAGCCUUCAGGAGGU